GGCUCUCAGAGGCGAAGAAGGACGUGAUAAGCUGCGAAAAGUUGCGGGGAUUGGCACAUACGAAUUGAUCCGCAAAUAUCCGAAUGGGGCAACCCAGUACAUUGAAGAUGUACUACACCGAUUGGUGGGCAAACCUGCUGAACUGAAACAUCUUAGUAGGCAGAGGAGAAGAAAACAAAAGUGAUUCCCAGAGUAGUGGCGAGCGAAAUGGGAGCAGCCCAAACCCAUAUUGUUACGGCAAUAUGGGGGUAGUAGGACCCAGAUAUAGGUUGUAAAGCUGGAUUAGAAGUGUUUGGAAAGACACACCAUAGAGAGUGAAAGUCUCGUAUAGGCACAGUUUUAUAAAUCUUAUGGGUAUCCUGAGUAGGUCGGGGCACGUGGAACCUUGACUGAAUCCGCCGGGACCAUCCGGUAAGGCUAAAUACUCCUGAGAGACCGAUAGUGAACCAGUACCGUGAGGGAAAGGUGAAAAGAACCGUGAAUAACGGAGUGAAAUAGACCCUGAAACCAUACGCUUACAAGCGGUCGGAGCAGCGUUGUGGAGGACCGAACUGGUUGUCGUUGAAAAGACUUCGGAUGACCUGAGGGUAGGGGUGAAAGGCCAAUCAAACUGGGAAAUAGCUCGUACUCCCCGAAAUGCAUUUAGGUGCAGCGUUGAUGCGAGUUUAAUAGAGGUAGAGCUACUGAUUGGAUGCGGGGGUUUCAUCGCCUACCAAUUCCUGACAAACUCCGAAUGCUAUUAAAUGCUCAUCAGCAGUGAGGGUAUGGGUGCUAAGGUCCAUAUCCUAAAGGGAAAGAACCCGGACCAUCAGCUAAGGUCCCCAAAUAUAUGCUAAGUUGACCAAACGCGGUCUGACUGCACUGACAGCUAGGAUGUUGGCUUGGAAGCAGCCAUACAUUUAAAGAGUGCGUAACAGCUCACUAGUCGAGCGGUUGGGCAUGGAUAAUAAACGGGCAUAAGCAUAUUACCGAAGCUAUGGGGUUAUUACUUAAGUAAUAUACCGGUAGGGGAGCAUUCUAUUGGCGUGGAAGCUAAAGGCGUGAGCCAUAGUGGAGCCUGAUAGAAAAGAAAAUGUAGGCAUAAGUAACGAUAAGGCAGGCGAGAAACCUGCCCGCCGAAAGAUCAAGGUUUCCUCAGCUAUGCUAAUCAGCUGAGGGUUAGUCGGGGACUAACGCGAACCCGAGUAGGGGUAGUGGAUGUACAAUAGGUUAAUAUUCCUAUACCAUUAGUCUGUUAAAAGUGACGGAAUGAGAUAACUACCGCGUACUGACGGAAUAGUACGUUUAAGGAGUUGUUAUGACUUCGAAAGUACGCUGAGGCUUCGGCCGAGGUGAGUGUGGUGACAACGUUUCCAAGAAAAGCGAAGGCUAAUGCCCGUACCGUAAACCGACACAGGUGAUUGGGAUGAGAAUUCUAAGGCGCUCGAGAGAUUCAUGGCUAAGGAACUAGGCAAAAUAGACCUGUAACUUCGGGAGAAAGGUCGCCUAUCUAGCGAUAGGCCGCAGUGAAAAGGUCCAAGCGACUGUUUAUCAAAAACACAGGACUCUGCAAAAUCGAAAGAUGAAGUAUAGGGUCUGACACCUGCCCGGUGCUGGAAGGUUAAGAGGAGAGCUUAGCGUAAGCGAAGGUUUGAAUUGAAGCCCCAGUAAACGGCGGCCGUAACUAUAACGGUCCUAAGGUAGCGAAAUUCCUUGUCGGGUAAGUUCCGACCUGCACGAAUG
rnacentral:rRNA from 1 species